rfam:Asian citrus Psyllid, Diaphorina citri - Florida Strain, whole genome shotgun sequence.
GCCUAGUUAGCUUGGUUGGUAGCGCGUCUGCCUCGUAAACAGUAGGCCGUGGGUUCGAUUCCCGCCCCGUGUA